AUGUCAUCGAUACACACCUUUCCUUUUCCGCCAUCAUGCCAUGCAAAACCAACAAUCUCCUUUACAUAUAUACAUCUCUCAAACUAACCAGAUCAAAAGGGAAGUAACAUAUCAACAGCUGAACAUGAACAUCAUAACAGGAAUCCUGCUACUGCAGAUGCUGACUGGAUUGCAAAGUCAGAUAUUGUCUGAGUCUGAACCAGCUGUAGUGAAACCUGGUCAAUCUCAUAAACUGACCUGCACUGCUUCUGGGCUGGACUUUGAUAGCUACUGGAUGGCUUGGAUCAGGCAGGCUCCUGGGAAAGGAUUGGAGUUUGUCGCAAUCAUUGAGUAUGACAGUGAUCGCAAAUUUUACUCAAACGCUGUUCAAGGAAGAUUCACUGUCUCCAGAGACAACAAUGUGGACCAGGUGUAUCUGCAGAUGAACAGUCUGAAGACUGAGGACACAGCUGUGUAUUACUGUGCUAGAAGAGACACAGUGAUAGAAGAGUCUGGAGAGAUGGACAAAAACUCACAGUGA